AGGUUUGAUCCUGGCUCAGGAUGAACGCUAGCGGUGUGCCUAAUGCAUGCAAGUCGAACGAGAUCCCUGGAUUCGUUUAGGGUGAGCUGGCGAACGGGUGAGUAACACGUAGGUGACCUGCCCCGGAGAGGGGGAUAACUGCUGUAAACGGUGGCUAAUACCCCAGAUGUCGUUGGAUUUAGAAACUAACGUCUGAAGCUCCGGCGCUCCUAAGGGGCCUGCGGCCCAUCAGCUAGUUGGUAGGGUAAUAGCCUACCAAGGCGAAGACGGGUAGGGGCGUGAGAGCGUGACCCCCCACACUGGUACUGAGACACGGUAGAUACCUCCGGUAGCAGCAGCAAGGAAUAUUGCCCAAUGGAGGAAACUCUACGGCAGCAACACCGCGUGGAGGAUGAAGGCCUUCGGGUUGUAAACUCCUUUUCUGGGGGAUGAGAAAGGACAGUAUACAGGAAUAAGUCUCGGCUAACUACGUGCCAGCAGCCGCGGUAAAACGUAGGAGGCAAGCGUUAUCCGGAUUGGUGGGCUUAAAGCGCAUGCAGGCGGACGCUUAAGUCGGACGUGAAAGCUCCCGGCUCAACUGGGAGAGGCCGUUCGAAACUAGGCGUCUUGAGGAUGGUAGACGAGUGGAAUUCCCGGUGUAGUGGUGAAAUGCGUAAUUCGGGAGGAACACCAGUGGCGAAGGCGGCUCUCUGGUACAUUCCUGACGCUCAAUGCAAAGCUAGGGGAGAGAACGGGAUUAGAAACCCCGGUAUUCCUACCGUAAACGAUGUCAACCUAGGCGUGGAGUCAUUGACCCUUCUGUGCUGUAGCUAACGCGUUAAGUUGACCGCCUGUAGACUACGGCCGCAAGGCUAAAACUCAAAGGAAUUGACGGGGACCCGCAAAAGCAGCGGAGCGUGUGGUUUAAUUCGAGAACGCGAAGAACCUUACCAGGGCUUGACAUGCGUGGUAGUGAAACGAAAGUGGAACGACCCUUCGGGGAGCGCAUUCAGGUGCUGCAUGGCUGUCGUCAGCUCGUGCCGUGAGGUUGUUAGGUUAAGUCCUGUAACGAGCGCAACACGUCGCUAGUUACAUGUGUCUAGCGAGACUGCCGGUGAUAAGCCGGAGGAAGGUGAGGAUGACGUCAAGUCAGCAUGGCCUUUAUGUCCAGUGGGCUACACACACGCUACAAUGGCCGGUACAAUGGGCAGCCAAGCCACGAGGCGGAGCCAGUAAUCCUUCAAAGCCGGUCUCAGUUCGGAUUGCAGGCUGCAACUCGCCUGCAUGAAGUCGGACUGCUAGUAAACGCGCGUCAGCAACAGUGCGUUGAAUACGUUUGGGUCUUGUACACACCGCCCGUCACGUCAUGGAAGUUGGCAACGCCUGAAGUCGGUGAGCUAACCCGCAAGGGAGGCAUCCGCCUAAGGCGGGGUGUAACGGGACGAAGUCGUAACAAGGUAGCUGUAGCGGAAGCUGCGGCUGACACCUCC
rnacentral:rRNA from 1 species